GGCGGCGUGCUUAACACAUGCAAGUCGAGCGAUGAAACACCUUCGGGUGUGAAUUAGCGGCGAACGGGUGAGGAACACGUGAAGAAUCUGCCUUCAACUCUGGGAUAACUCCGGGAAACCGGGGCUAAUACCGGAUAUGAGCCUUGAUCGCAUGAUCGGGGCUGGAAAGUUUUUCGGUUGAAGAUGACUUCGCGGCCUAUCAGCUUGUUGGUGAGGUAAUGGUUCACCAAGGCGACGACGGGUAGCCGGCCUGAGAGGGCGACCGGCCACACUGGGACUGAGACACGGCCCAGACUCCUACGGGAGGCAGCAGUGGGGAAUAUUGGGCAAUGGAGGAAACUCUGACCCAGCGACGCCGCGUGAGGGAUGAAGGUCUUCGGGUUGUAAACCUCUUUCAGUAGGGAAGAAGCGAAAGUGACGGUACCUACAGAAGAAGCACCGGCUAACUAUGUGCCAGCAGCCGCGGUAAUACAUAGGGUGCAAGCGUUGUCCGGAAUUAUUGGGCGUAAAGAGCUCGUAGGUGGUUCGAUACGUCGGAUGUGAAAAUCAGGGGCUCAACCCCUGACCUGCAUCCGAUACGGUCGAGCUGGAGUUUGGUAGGGGAGACUGGAAUUCCUGAUGUAGCGGUGGAAUGCGCAGAUAUCAGGAGGAACACCGAUGGCGAAGGCAGGUCUCUGGGCCAAUACUGACACUGAGGAGCGAAAGCGUGGGGAGCGAACAGGAUUAGAUACCCUGGUAGUCCACGCCGUAAACGGUGGGCGCUGGUUGUGCGAACCUUCCACGGUUUGUGCGACGCAGCUAACGCAUUAAGCGCCCCGCCUGGGGAGUACGAUCGCAAGAUUAAAACUCAAGGAAUUGACGGGGCCCCGCACAGCAGCGGAGCAUGCGGCUU
rnacentral:rRNA from 1 species